AUGUCUUUAAUAUUCCCAUCAGAUCUGACAUUGAAGACCCAAGACAGAGAAAACUUGGUCAUCUUAUUGAUCAAUUUUGAUUGGAUUUCUCUACACCUCAAAGAUAGUGCAGAUGAAAAAGGAACAGGCUUAUGUGGUAGAUCACAAUGUAAUCGUGGAAAACUGAAAAGUGCAGAAUACACAUCAGAUUUUUGGGACAGAUAAAGGGCUGUAUGAACAUCAGUGUUUAAAGUCCAUUUUCUUUUUUCAAGAUUCAAUGAUAAUAUUGCUGCACACCAGAGAAUUAAUUUGUUGUGAAACUGAUCAUGAAGAAUCAACAGAGCAGGUGGUUAUUUCCAUAUUUGUAACACAAAUGUAAGCUCUUGGCUCUGUGGAUAUCUUUUUACAACAGAACAUGUGAAGUGUUUGUAUAAUUUUGUAACUUUGUUUUGGCAUAUGAAAAUCAGUGGUGUAACCCAUCUAGACUGGACAAAAUUUUAAUAAAAUUAAUACAUGAGCAAGA
rnacentral:lncRNA from 1 species